rnacentral:rRNA from 1 species
CCUACGGGAGGCAGCAGUGGGGAAUAUUGGGCAAUGGGGGAAACCCUGACCCAGCAACGCCGCGUGAGGGAUGAAGGCUAUAUUAGUUGUAAACCUCUGUCUUAUGGGAAGAAGGAAUGACAGUACCAUAGGAGGAAGCUCCGGCUAACUACGUGCCAGCAGCCGCGGUAAUACGUAGGGAGCGAGCGUUGUCCGGAAUUACUGGGCGUAAAGGGUGCGUAGGCGGUUAGUUAAGUUAGAUGUGAAAUCCUCGGGCUCAACUCGGGGAUGCAUCUAAAACUGGCUGACUUGAGUGCAGGAGAGGAAAGCGGAAUUCCUAGUGUAGCGGUGGAAUGCGUAGAUAUUAGGAGGAACACCAGUGGCGAAGGCGGCUUUCUGGACUGUAACUGACGCUGAGGCACGAAAGCGUGGGGAGCAAACAGGAUUAGAUACCCCUGUAGUC